rnacentral:rRNA from 1 species
CCCGGACCUUGUACACACCGCCCGUCAAGCCAUGAGAGUCGGGAGGACCUGAAGCCAGUUGCUGCGAGGCGCUGUUUAGGUUAAACCGAUGAUUAGGCU